rnacentral:rRNA from 1 species
UACGUAGGGUGCGAGCGUUGUCCGGAAUUAUUGGGCGUAAAGGGCUCGUAGGCGGUCUGUUGCGUCGGGAGUGAAAACUCAGGGCUUAACCCUGAGCCUGCUUCCGAUACGGGCAGACUAGAGGUAUGCAGGGGAGAACGGAAUUCCUGGUGUAGCGGUGAAAUGCGCAGAUAUCAGGAGGAACACCGGUGGCGAAGGCGGUUCUCUGGGCCGUAACUGACGCUGAGGAGCGAAAGCGUGGGGAGCGAACAGG